AGAGAGACUGAAAGAAAAGAGUUACAGAGACAGAAAGAAUAGAGAGAGACAUAGAGAGAGAUUGAAAGAAUGG